rnacentral:lncRNA from 1 species
AAAUUCUAAAAUGAAACACUGCAUGAUUUCCUAAUUUGGUUGAAGUACAAAUACAUGUAUAUCACAACAUACUGGUUUUUACCGGGUUUUCCUAAAUGAUUUUAAAUUGACUUCAAUUUGAGAAACUUAACACACUUCUGGUCAUAUUUUCAUAUAGAAUACAUACAUUUGUUGAUGAACAAAUAAUUCUAUUUGAAGAAAGAAUCACUUGGUGUGCACUGUGUACAUCAUGGACUUCUGUUAUGAUUGACCCUCUGCGGUUCAAAACAGGCAAUCCUCUUCGCCAUGAUUCCCAACCUGCAGUGGUUGCUCUUGAAAUUCUGACUCGCACUUCAUUCAGGGUUUUGGAAAUAUUCGGUUUGUUUUCAUUCACAUGGGCAAUGGAGAAGAUUUGAGAAUCCUCGCGAAUCCGAACAACAACGUUGGGAAGCGAAAUGUGCAACGAUCCCUUUCAAAAGACCUCUGUCGAAGAUGCAUUGUUUCCAAUUCCAGCAGUUCUCCUCGCAUACGUCUAUCCUUUCAAGUUCCACGCUGAGCUACAAGCAAUACAAUAGAUGAGACAAAAAUUUUACAAAAUAGGCUCUACGAUGAAAUGUAGCUUCAACCGAGCAUACAUUGUUCCACUAGCUCCUCAGUUCUCCGUGGAAAACAAUAUUGGCAAUUUAAGUACUGUAACGAGUGUAACAUAAUUUCACACUUCCCAAUCAAUCUUAGUCGCAUAAGCGUGGUUUCGCACAUUUGAAGAAUAUGAGAAUGAUUACAGUAUGAUCAUCUAGAGCAGUCGCUAUGCAAAGAUUUUAAGGGCCAAGAAGAUAAUCGACUACCCUGCUGCUGUAAUACUAUAACUGACCACGGAGUUUCAGGGCCAAUCUCUCUAUGUUUCCUCCUAGCUUGUGGUUUAUAAAUAAGUAACCAUGCCCUACCACGCAUAACAGUAGUUUUCAAGCUUAAUUGGGAACACAAUCCCAUGAACCGACAUACCACUCUGAACAGAACAAAAUGCGCAGCCAUUCGUGCUCACUGUCUAGUGCCGGAUCUCCAACCUCGGCAGGCGGGCACAGAGACAUUGCUACGCCUCCUGCGAUACGACCCCUCCUCCUCUAGGAAGACUUAUGAUCAAGUUGUUUCAACCUUUCUUCAACGGUGAUAGGCCCAUUGGCAACCUUGCUGGCCUUGCGGUCAGCAGAAGCCAUGAGAAUGCCAGCGAGGGUGCCCAUGGCACACACCAUAAGCAAGCGCAUGGAGCGCUUGUCGGCAGACGCAGACAUGGCACUUCCUUGACGAGGGGCAGGCAGGCAGGCAGACAAGUACACGGCGAAGCAAGAAGGACAGUGGAGGGAGGGAGGGAGAAGACUAGGGUUUCACAAAAAAAACAGAAGUAAAACAGAAAGCAAAAUACAAAACAAAAUACAAAACAAAACAAAACAAAGAGAGAGAGGAGAGUCCCUCCCUCCGUCCCUCCCUACGUCCCUUAACUUCACUUGCCCCGUCUCGUCUCGUCUCGUCACUGUUCUGUUCCGAGUCAGCCCUCCUCCUCCUCCCCUCCCUCCUCGGCGAAGUCCCUUUGUUCAUGUCCCCCCCCCACCACCACCUUGCUUGCUUACUUGCUUGGUGGCUUCGUAGUCCGAGUAACGCUGAACAAUCCCUAUACACCCGCAACCUAACACUUCAUUGACUCUACC